GUGUCGGCUGGCGCCGGCCGGGCCUACAGAGCAGGUGACAAAGCCCCAUACGCUCGAGGACCGGACGCGGUGCCGCCGCUGCCUUUCGGGCCCGUCCCCCGGGAGAGGGGGACGGGGGCCCAACACACAAGCCGUGCUUGAGGGCAGCAAUGACGCUCGGACAGGCAUGCCCCCCGGAAUACCAGGGGGCGCAAUGUGCGUUCAAAGACUCGAUGAUUCACUGAAUUCUGCAAUUCACAUUACUUAUCGCAUUUCGCUGCGUUCUUCAUCGAUGCCGGAACCAAGAGAUCCGUUGUUGAAAGUUUUAACUGAUUACGAUAAUCAACUCAGACUGCAUACUUUCAGAACAGCGUUCAUGUUGGGGUCUUCGGCGGGCGCGGGCCCGGGGGCGCAAGGCCUCCCCGGCGGCCGUCGAAACGGCGGGCCCGCCGAAGCAACAAGGAACAAUAGACUCGGAUGGGAGGAUGGCCAAGGAGGGGCGUAAAGAGCCAGAAACUUUAAUGAUUCUUCCACAUAGAAAAAGGGCCAAAUGGGUCCAACCUCACCCGUGUCUAUCGUACCUGUUUGCUUCGGCGGCCCGCCUAUCCACGCCCGCGGGAAAGAUUGAGCCCGGUCGGUCCCCAAAAUACACAUUAAANUGUUUCUAAAAAUUAAUCCUCUUGAAAAUGAAUUUAUNCAAUACCCUCUAAANAUUUUAAACAAGGGAAUCUUUGGGUUCCGGGAACAUAAGAAUAACCGCAACGAAAUGGG
rnacentral:misc_RNA from 1 species